rnacentral:rRNA from 1 species
UACGUAGGGUGCAAGCGUUGUCCGGAAUUAUUGGGCGUAAAGAGCUCGUAGGCGGUUUGUCGCGUCUGCUGUGAAAACUCGGGGCUUAACUCCGGGCCUGCAGUGGGUACGGGCAGACUAGAGUGCGGUAGGGGAGACUGGAAUUCCUGGUGUAGCGGUGAAAUGCGCAGAUAUCAGGAGGAACACCGGUGGCGAAGGCGGGUCACUGGACCGACACUGACGCUGAGGCGCGAAAGCGUGGGGAGCAAACAGG